UACGGGGGGUGCAAGCGUUGUUCGGAAUUACUGGGCGUAAAGGGCUCGUAGGCGGCCAACUAAGUCAGACGUGAAAUCCCUCGGCUUAACCGGGGAACUGCGUCUGAUACUGGAUGGCUUGAGUUCGGGAGAGGGAUGCGGAAUUCCAGGUGUAGCGGUGAAAUGCGUAGAUAUCUGGAGGAACACCGGUGGCGAAGGCGGCAUCCUGGACCGACACUGACGCUGAGGAGCGAAAGCCAGGGGAGCAAACGGG
rnacentral:rRNA from 1 species